GCCCCGAUGGCUCAGUGGUAAAGCGUAUCACUAGUAAUGAUAAGAUCGUCAGUUCGAUUCUGGCUCGGGGCA
rnacentral:tRNA from 1 species